rnacentral:sRNA from 1 species
CCCCUCGCCAUGGCGCGGCUCGCGGACUACUUCGUGCUGGUGGCGUUCGGGCCGCACCCGCGCGGGAGUGGGGAAGGCCAGGGCCAGAUUCUGCAGCGCUUCCCAGAGAAGGACUGGGAGGACAACCCAUUCCCCCAGGGCAUCGAGCUGUUUUGCCAGCCCAGCGGGUGGCAGCUGUGUCCCGAGAGGAAUCCACCGACCUUCUUUGUUGCUGUCCUCACCGACAUCAACUCCGAGCGCCACUACUGCGCCUGCUUGACCUUCUGGGAGCCAGCGGAGCCUUCACAGGUCAGCUUGGGGCCUCUGGGUACAGCAUGAAUGAAGCUGCAUCCUUGGGCCGUGGCCAACUCCCCCUGCCCCCGUCUCCCCCUGACACCCAGCAGGAAACGACGCGCGUGGAGGAUGCCACAGAGAGGGAGGAAGAGGGGGAUGAGGGAGGCCAGACCCACCUGUCUCCCACAGCACCUGCCCCAUCUGCCCAGCUGUUUGCACCGAAGACGCUGGUACUGGUGUCGCGACUCGACCACACGGAGGUGUUCAGGAACAGCCUUGGCCUCAUCUAUGCCAUCCACGUGGAGGGCCUGAAUGUGUGCCUGGAGAACGUGAUUGGGAAUCUGCUGACGUGCACUGUGCCCCUGGCUGGGGGCUCGCAGAGGACGAUCUCUUUGGGGGCUGGUGACCGGCAGGUCAUCCAGACUCCACUGGCCGACUCGCUGCCCGUCAGCCGCUGCAGCGUGGCCCUGCUCUUCCGCCAGCUAGGCAUCACCAACGUGCUGUCUUUGUUCUGCGCUGCCCUCACGGAGCACAAGGU